rnacentral:rRNA from 1 species
UACGGGGGGAGCAAGCGUUGUUCGGAUUUACUGGGCGUAAAGGGCGCGUAGGCGGUCGUGACAAGUCACUUGUGAAAUCUCCGGGCUUAACUCGGAACGGUCAAGUGAUACUGUCGGACUAGAGUACAGAAGGGGCAACUGGAAUUCUCGGUGUAGCGGUGAAAUGCGUAGAUAUCGAGAGGAACACCUGCGGCGAAGGCGGGUUGCUGGGCUGAUACUGACGCUGAGGAGCGAAAGCGUGGGGAGCGAACAGG